rnacentral:rRNA from 1 species
UACGUAGGGUGCAAGCGUUAAUCGGAAUUACUGGGCGUAAAGCGUGCGCAGGCGGUUGUGCAAGACAGAUGUGAAAUCCCCGGGCUUAACCUGGGAACUGCAUUUGUGACUGCACGGCUAGAGUGUGUCAGAGGGGGGUAGAAUUCCACGUGUAGCAGUGAAAUGCGUAGAUAUGUGGAGGAAUACCGAUGGCGAAGGCAGCCCCCUGGGAUAACACUGACGCUCAUGCACGAAAGCGUGGGGGGCAAACAGG